rnacentral:rRNA from 1 species
UACGUAGGGUGCAAGCGUUGUCCGGAAUUAUUGGGCGUAAAGAGCUCGUAGGCGGUUUGUCGCGUCUGCUGUGAAAAUCCAGGGCUUAACCCUGGACCUGCAGUGGGUACGGGCAGACUAGAGUGCGGUAGGGGAGAUCGGAAUUCCUGGUGUAGCGGUGGAAUGCGCAGAUAUCAGGAGGAACACCGAUGGCGAAGGCAGGUCUCUGGGCCAUUACUGACACUGAGAAGCGAAAGCAUGGGGAGCGAACAGG